rnacentral:tRNA from 1 species
GCCCGAAUGCCCGAGUGGUCAAGGGAGCUGCCUGCAAAGCAGCCGUCGCUCGUCGACGCCGUCGGUUCGAAUCCGACUUCGGGCU